AUGACAGGCCUCAUCCGCCAACACCUCCAGCCCCCACUGGAGGUGACCUGGACUGUCUGUGGACACUGCUGGCUGAGGGUGGAACUGCGGGUGGUAACUCCAGUUCUAGCCAGGACAGAUUCAGAGCCCUCAGGACUCAGGGGCACACACAAGCCACACAGGUGGGGCUGCAGAUGUGGGGCUCACCGUGCUGGAGCCAGGCUGGUUGGCACUGGCAUGGGACCUGGGGAAUCAGCCCUCGGCUGGGCAGCCAGGAUGCCUCCUGCUCUCUUUCCUCCAUCCCACCCCUUCCACUUCCAGAGGCCCCGGGAUAUUUUUAAGGGGAAGGGGAAGGAUAGAGAGAAAGUGCAGGCAGGGCUGGGGUCUGGGCCUGUGGGAUCCUCAGGCAGGAGGGGAGGGCUAUAUCAUGAUGGCCUGGAGCUGGGGCUGGAGGUGAGUCUUCCCGGAUGCUGGGAAUCACCAGGCGGGCAGGAGGGCUGUUCCAGGCUGAGGGAAGGGCAGGUGCAAAGCCCAGAGUGGGGAAGACGCUGGGCAGCAGUGUGGGUGGUGCAGCCGGACUGGUGGGAGAGACGGAGGCUGCGGCCAAGCGGGCCACGAACAGCGGCUCAGCCGGCCACCUCUCUCAACAGAAGCAGGUUGUGCAGGCCUGGCAUUCAUGUUUCAUGAGGCGUGCACAGGUACAGAUCAGAGGUGGAGCCAAGGCCAUCCGAGCAGGUGGAUGGGCAGCAAGGAGA